AAGACCUUGCGCUUUUAGAGCGGCCGAUGCCUGAUUAGCUUGUUGGUAAGGUAAAAGCUUACCAAGGCUUCGAUCAGUAGCUGGUCUGAGAGGACGGCCAGCCACACUGGGACUGAGACACGGCCCAGACUCCUACGGGAGGCAGCAGUGGGGAAUUUUGGACAAUGGGGGCAACCCUGAUCCAGCCAUGCCGCGUGAGUGAAGAAGGCCUUCGGGUUGUAAAGCUCUUUCAGCCGGAACGAAACGGUUACGGUUAAUACCCGUGACUACUGACGGUACCGGAAGAAGAAGCACCGGCUAACUACGUGCCAGCAGCCGCGGUAAUACGUAGGGUGCGAGCGUUAAUCGGAAUUACUGGGCGUAAAGCGUGCGCAGGUGGUUUUGUAAGUCAGAUGUGAAAGCCCCGGGCUCAACCUGGGAACU
rnacentral:rRNA from 1 species